AGAUUCCUACGGGACGCAGCAGUUAGGAAUAUUCGUCAAUGGGGGAAACCCUGAACGAGCAAUGCCGCGUGAACGAUGACGGUCCUCUGGAUUGUAAAGUUCUGUUGUUUGGGAAGAACGGCUCUAAUAGGAAAUGAUAGAGAUUGACUGUACCAUUCAAGAAAGCCACGGCUAACUACGUGCCAGCAGCCGCGGUAAUACGGAGGAUGCGAGCGUUAUCCGGAUUUAUUGGGUUUAAAGGGUGCGCAGGCGGCACGGCAAGCCGGCGGUCAAAUCGCGGGGCUCAACCCCGCCCAGCCGUCGGA
rnacentral:rRNA from 1 species